AAAGGCAGACUACCCCAAAAAGUGGCUGCUGCGAAAUAUUUUCAGUUUUGUUUUGUAUUUUGUUUUUCAAGACAAACCCACGCUGGCCUCGAACUCAUGGCAGUCCCUCUGCCUGGGCUCCAAAGCGCUGAGAUUACAUGAGUUGACCGCUAUGCUCCCCUUGUCCGAAGGACACUUUUCCCCUCGGAACUGUAACAUUUAUGGUGUCCUGACCUGAAGAGGCUCCUCCUCCUGUCUGUGCACCCCCUUGGGGUCUGAGCCAUAUUGGGACCCAUCCUUCACCUCCAGUCCAUCUGCAGCAGACUGGCGUUCUGACUCACGGAUAGCUCAGCGCCUCCCCUCUCAGCCCCCCAGGCCCCAUCCACCAGCGGCAUUAGGUAAAUUUCCCAUUCGGUCAGUUCAAACACUUCCCUGAGUCUGCGGAAGUGGCUAUUGAGUUAUUUGGCGCCCCUCUGGUACUCUUGGAGGCAGAGGUACCCCCCCACACCCCCAGCCACGGUCUUUGAGGCUACGGCUGGCUCUCUUCACCUGCCCCCUCCUCCUGAGAGCUACAAUCUUGCAGUGUUUAGGCCCACAGGAGCUAUUGGGCCCCUUCCUGUCUUCUUUCCCUACCUUUCCUUCAGAGCUGAUCAUAAAUACACAGCCCCUCUAGGGCCUCGUAGCUUUUGUGACCCUGCUUCUGAUUCUUCCCUGUGGAUGAGACAACUCCCCUCCCCUCCCUCUAGAGUUUAGUUCUCAUCCUCACCUUUGGGCUGCUACAACAGCCCUGGUACUAAGUCUCUCCUCAGGUUUCGCCAGGCUAAGCCCCUGGCCCCUGUUGGAUGUGCUGACAACCCACUUAACGACUUGGUCCUCCUGGCUUGUGUCUUCCUCUGGUCCUCCCUGAAUCCUGGGGAUGCUUGUGACUACAGACUACGGUGACAUUUUUCCUUCCUACCCCCUCUCUUAUCCAUGGGAGCAGUAUCGUUCGUACCCUCUCAUUCCCCCUCAGCACCCGAACUGAAAAGCCCUAAACUUGUGCACCUUUGCAGUAAAACUUGACCUCGAUACCCUAUCUAUAAUCUAUCAAAAUGGUCACCUGAUAGCACCCCAGAUGCCGAUAUUAUUCGAUAUCCACAACUGCUGUGAGCAAUCAAGGAAAUAGAGAGAGAGAUUCUCUCUGUCCAAGAUUUCUCUCGCCUCCACUCCAAGCCUUCUCUCUGUUCUUCCGGUUCCCCAACUCAGCUCCUUCUAGCUAUGAAGUCUGGACAAGAUGAUGCCUUAACUACUUUUGAUGCAGCUAAUGUGCCUGCCCGCAAUCAGUCUCUACCCACAGCUCCCUCUCCUUCAUCCCUUUCGGUUUCCCUUUCUCCUCUCCCAGUGACAGGUCAUUUGGGGCAGUGGGCUGCUCACAGACAGCCUGGUCUCCAAAGGUCUGGAACCCAGGAACCCUAUGGGUGGUGAUUUCUACCUACAUGGGACAGAAGAUGUUCGAUCAUGUCUCCUGCGCCCCUGGCUCCCGUAGAAGUUACCGCCCCAGCAACCCCACUCAUGAGAGGGAAUUAAAGGUGUGCUGCAACACUUGGGAAGAGAUCUGCUCUCCGGAAGUGCUGCCUGAGGUUCCAACGCACUCCUCACUGGAUAUUCGGCUUCUCAUCGGUCCAGCCUGACCUGACUCAGUGCAGGGCGGCUCGGGGUUACUGAGUGGCCUGGAGGCAUGGCUGAGACUUCGUCUCCCUGCCUGCACUUGCUUCCCUUCGCCAGAACCCUCGCACCAGGCCUGGCCAGAGGUCUCCAUUGAAAACCUCUGGUGGUGCUGGUGAGAUGGCUCAGU